UAAGUGAAAUAAGCCAGGCACAGAAAGGCAGACAGGGAAUGUUCUCACUUAAUUGUGGGAUCUAAAAAUCAAAAGAAUUGAACCCAUCUCUCUUGUCUACCUCUCACCUUCCCGAAUUAGAUAGAUCCACAUCCAUCUCGUCACUUUUGUGAUUUAUGACAGCAUAAAGUAGUAGAAAGACAAAGGCUGGGAGCCAGAGGCCUAGAGGUUCAAAUCUCAGCUCUUCUUCUUCCUUACCUCCUGACCCUAGGCAAUUUAUUCAAGCUCUCUAAGAAUCAGUUUCCACGUCUAUGAACUGAGGAUAAUUACAGCACCUACCUCAUGAUACUGCUGUGAGGACUGAAUGAGAUCAUUCAUAUCCAGUGUUUAGCAUAAUGCCUGGUACACAGUAGGCACUUGAUCAAUGUCAUUUAUAAUUACUGUUUUUAGAUUUUUGAAUGAGUUUUAAAAGCAGAGUAUUUAUCUAUAGCCAGGUGUAGCAGGUGUAUUGGCGCCCUGUCCACAUCUUGGUACCUCCAUUCUCAUAGGCACUGAUGGAAUCCUAUUGCAAGAACCCCCCACUCAGACUGUCUGCGGGCUUUCUCUGACACGCUGCUUUCCUGCAGAACCUGCUUCUUAGGGAACUCAACCUGAGAUCCGGACCACAUGAGUUGGAUGAAGAAACCCCA